UACGUAGGGGGCAAGCGUUGUCCGGAAUUAUUGGGCGUAAAGCGCGUGUAGGCGGCUCGGUAAGUCUGCUGUGAAAGUCCAGGGCUCAACCCUGGAACGCCGGUGGAUACUGUCGAGCUCGAGUCCGGAAGAGGCGAGUGGAAUUCCUGGUGUAGCGGUGAAAUGCGCAGAUAUCAGGAGGAACACCAAUGGCGAAGGCAGCUCGCUGGGACGGUACUGACGCUGAGACGCGAAAGCGUGGGGAGCAAACAGG
rnacentral:rRNA from 1 species